UACGUAGGGGGCAAGCGUUGUCCGGAAUCAUUGGGCGUAAAGAGCGCGUAGGCGGUCCGGUAAGUCCGCUGUGAAAGUCAAGGGCUCAACCCUUGAAUGCCGGUGGAUACUGUCGGGCUAGAGUCCGGAAGAGGCGAGUGGAAUUCCUGGUAUAGCGGUGAAAUGCGCAGAUAUCAGGAGGAACACCAAUGGCGAAGGCAGCUCGCUGGGACGGUACUGACGCUGAGGCGCGAAAGCGUGGGGAGCAAACAGG
rnacentral:rRNA from 1 species